rnacentral:rRNA from 1 species
UACGGGGGGAGCAAGCGUUGUUCGGAUUUACUGGGCGUAAAGGGCGCGUAGGCGGCUUUGCAAGUGACGGGUGAAAUCCCUCGGCUUAACCGAGGAACUGCCUGUCAAACUGCAUGGCUUGAGACCGGGAGAGGUGAGUGGAAUUCCCAGUGUAGCGGUGAAAUGCGUAGAUAUUGGGAGGAACACCAGUGGCGAAGGCGGCUCACUGGACCGGUACUGACGCUGAUGCGCGAAAGCGUGGGGAGCAAACGGG